rnacentral:rRNA from 1 species
GAGUUUGAUCGUGGCUCAGAACGAACGCUGGCGGCGUGCUUAACACAUGCAAGUCGAACGAGAAAGAGCUCUUCGGAGCUUGAGUAAAGUGGCGCACGGGUGAGUAACGCGUAGAUAACCUGUCCAGGUGUUCGGGAUAGCCCUCCGAAAGGGGGAUUAAUACCGGAUACGUUAGUUUGUCAUAAGGCAAAUUAAGAAAGGUGGCCUCUAUUUAUAAGCUAUCGCACUUGGAGGGGUCUGCGUACCAUUAGUUUGUUGGUGGGGUAAUGGCCUACCAAGACUUCGAUGGUUAGCGGGUCUGAGAGGAUGAUCCGUCACACUGGCACUGAAACACGGGCCAGACUCCUACGGGAGGCAGCAGUGAGGAAUAUUGCGCAAUGGGGGAAACCCUGACGCAGCGACGCCGCGUGGGUGAGGAAGGCCUUUCGGUCGUAAAGCCCUGUCAGAAGGGAAGAAAUGUGUAGUGGUUAAUACCCAUUGCACUUGACGGUCCUUCAAAGGAAGCACCGGCUAACUCCGUGCCAGCAGCCGCCGU